rnacentral:rRNA from 1 species
AUUGAACGCUGGCGGCAGGCUUAACACAUGCAAGUCGAGCGGGGGAAGGUAGCUUGCUACCGGACCUAGCGGCGGACGGGUGAGUAAUGCUUAGGAAUCUGCCUAUUAGUGGGGGACAACAUCUCGAAAGGGAUGCUAAUACCGCAUACGUCCUACGGGAGAAAGCAGGGGAUCUUCGGACCUUGCGCUAAUAGAUGAGCCUAAGUCGGAUUAGCUAGUUGGUGGGGUAAAGGCCUACCAAGGCGACGAUCUGUAGCGGGUCUGAGAGGAUGAUCCGCCACAAUGGGAUUGUAACACGGCCACGACUCCGACGGGAGGCAGCAGUAGGAAAUAUUGGACAAUGGGGGGAACCCUGAUCCAGCCAUGCCGCGUGUGUGAAGAAGGCCUUAUGGUUGUAAAGCACUUUAAGCGAGGAGGAGGCUACUUUAGUUAAUACCUAGAGAUAGUGGACGUUACUCGCAGAAUAAGCACCGGCUAACUCUGUGCCAGCAGCCGCAGUAAUAC